AGCGAACGCUGGCGGCAGGCUUAACACAUGCAAGUCGAGCGGGCAUCCUUGUGGUGUCAGCGGCAGACGGGUGAGUAACGCGUGGGAACGUGCCCUUCGGUUCGGAAUAACUCAGGGAAACUUGAGCUAAUACCGGAUACGUGCGAGAGCAGAAAGGUUUAUCUGCCGAAGGAUCGGCCCGCGUCUGAUUAGCUAGUUGGUGAGGUUAUGGCUCACCAAGGCGACGAUCAGUAGCUGGUCUGAGAGGAUGAUCAGCCACACUGGGACUGAGACACGGCCCAGACUCCUACGGGAGGCAGCAGUGGGGAAUAUUGGACAAUGGGGGCAACCCUGAUCCAGCCAUGCCGCGUGAGUGAUGACGGCCUUAGGGUUGUAAAGCUCCUUUCUCCGGGACGAUAAUGACGGUACCGGAGGAAUAAGCCCCGGCUAACUUCGU
rnacentral:rRNA from 1 species